rnacentral:rRNA from 1 species
GACGUAGGGCGCGAGCGUUGUCCGGAUUUAUUGGGCGUAAAGAGCUCGUAGGCGGCUUGUUGCGUCAGCUGUGAAAACCCGCAGCUCAACUGUGGGCUUGCAGCUGAUACGGGCAGGCUUGAGUUCGGUAGGGGAGACUGGAAUUCCUGGUGUAGCGGUGAAAUGCGUAGAUAUUGGGAGGAAUACCAGUGGCGAAGGCGGCUCCCUGGACCGGUACUGACGCUGAGGUGCGAAAGCGUGGGGAGCAAACAGG